rnacentral:rRNA from 1 species
GAUGAACGCUGGCGGCGUGCCUAAUACAUGCAAGUCGAGCGAACGGACGAGAAGCUUGCUUCUCUGAUGUUAGCGGCGGACGGGUGCGUAACACAUGGCUAACCUAACUAUUAGACUUGGAUAAUUUCGGGAAACCGGAGCUAAUACCGGAUAAUUUUUUGAACCGCAAGGUUCCACAGUGAAAGACGGUGUUGCUGUCACUUAUAGAUAGAUCCGCGCUGCAUUAGCUAGUUGGUAAGGUAACGGCUUACCAAGGCAACGAUGCAUAGCCGACCUGACAGGGUGAACGGCCACACGGGAAGUGAGACACGGUCCACACUCUGGCGGGGGGCAGCAGUAGGGAAUCUUACGCAAUGGGCGAGAGCCUGACGGAGCGACGCCGCGUGAGGGAUGAAGGUCUUAGGAUCGUAAAACGCUGUUAUUAGGGAAGAAGAUAUGUGUAAGUAACUGGGCACAUCUUGACGGUACCUAAUCAGAAAGCCACGGCUAACUACGUG